CCUCUUUCUAGAGCAAGCAUCUGAAAGUGUCUUUAUUUUUAUUUAACAGUUUUUUUUAAAGAGAGAAUUUUUUAAUAUUUAUUUUUUUAGUUUUCGGCAGACACAGCAUGUUUCUUUGUAUGUGGUGCUGAGGAUCGAACCCGGGCCGCAUGCAUGCCAGGUGAGCACGCUACUGCUUGAGCCAUAUCCCCAGCCCCUAUUUUUAUAUAACAUUUCUGAAGUAGUGAUUUAUAUCCAUAAAAUCACAGCUUCUAAUCAAAACAUUACUACAAUAAUUUAUCUUCUUAGAAAAUGCUUGUCAGCAGUUCCAUGGAAGACCUGGGAUUAGCACUAGGCAGUGUUGUCACUGGGGUUUAUUUUAUUCUGUGCAAAUGGCAACGCUAAUAAUCCUGGUGUGAAGACAGAUUUUGAGCUUCAUGAUACCCAUUUGGGCAUCACUAGGUUCAGCAUUAGGAAUAAAUUUGAAAAAGAAAAAAAUCUGUAAGCAUUUCAACUGUCUGAAAGUUAAUUUUCAUAGCAUCUGUGCUUUUUAUAAGUAAAGUGCUAUAAAGUUCCUGCCAAAGAAUCUACUUUGGGUGGGGUGUAAGUGUGAGAAUAGCAUGAAAAAACUGCUGCCGGUUUCUUAAACAUUGCUGUGUUAGCCCUACAGGUUAAUAAAGCACAGAUUUGAGUGAGAAGAAGAGGGCCAAAAUUAAUGAUGGAAACAAUGAAGGAGCACAUACCAUGAGCCUGACUCUGGACUUUGAGCUCUGAUUCUCAUAGCAGCCAUUUGAGGCAGUUACUAUUUGGGUUUUACAGAAGAGAAAUGUCAUCUUCCGUAGUGAACCAGCUCUGCCCUGUGUGCUUUCUUCCACUGGGGCUUCAGCCUGUGGCCAGUAGCCCUAACUCAGUGCACAGCUGUCCCUCACAGAAGGCACUCUCCCUGUUUGCUAGUCAACUUUAUUUUUGGAUAUGCCCUCCCCUCAUUGGAAAAGAAGUCAUGUAUUACUGUGCAGUGAGCACAACUUGAAAGGAAUUUCCAAUAUCAACUGAUAAUGGUGUUUUCCACUGGUUUUACUUUUGUGAAUUUUUUUUUUUUUGCCAUUUACAUGUAAAUGGAUGUGAGUUUUGGGAAUUAAUUAUAUGUAAGGGUAAGGAAUCUAGUCCACGCAAGCAUCCACGACUCCUGUGUUGGAUACAUUCUGUUAACCAGCACCUGUUUGUCGUGUCCACACUGGCUCCAUGUCAGGGACUCUGCCAGGACACCAGAUCCAUCUUCUCUAUUGGACAACUCUGGGAGAUUCUGGUAUAGUCCACCAGUAUGCACAGUAUGGUCUGUCAGAAGGUCACAAGCUGCCAGGGGCACCGAGAGCUGGGGUGGCACUCAGCAGCACGAUGGGAACUGCUGCACGGUUACUGCCUGCUCAUUUCUACCCAAGAACCUCCCCAUACCCCGCUGCAUCAGCCCCAGGAGCCCACCUUGCACCCCCUGCCACCACUACUGCCCAAAAGAGAGAGAUGGAUUUCUCAGCCCCUUCCCCCAGUGUCACCAGGUCUUGAGUCAAUCCUUUUACUGACACCUGAUUGGGGAAUUGCUUGUGUUCUACCUGCCAGAGAGGCUGGGAAGGUGAGAGGAGGUACCUUCAACACCAGGAUUCAUGGAGUGAUUGAUGCUUCCAGGAUAGAACCUGCAUGCUUAGCAUGUGCAAGGCCGUGGGUUCAACCAGCAACCUGCCUGAAAAAAAAAAGGGGGGGGGAGUUCAGAUGCUGGGCAGUCAAAAGGAAAGAUAAAUGUCAUCUAUGACUGGACAACAGACACGGGAAUUUUUCAUCUAACAGGAAGUAAAUAAUUGUACAAGUUGUUAGGACGUGUUAGGAGAGAGAACACUGGGAGAAUCUAUAUACAUGAGCGUUCUCAGAGGGAAGAGAUUGUGGAUAAAACCUAGUUUGUGAUGAAGAUGGGGAUUUGAAAACUACCCAGAAAAUAAAAUUGAGUAAUAGUAUAUGUCACCAAAAAUGUCCAAGGUCACUCCUAGGUUGCUUCUCGAUGAUGGGCCCAUUUCUGAGGGACAGCCAGUUAUUGAACAGCCCCGGUGAAGUGUUGAAUGGGCCAUUGGAUACAUGUGUCUGGAACUCAGAAGAAGUACAGGUUUGGGGCAUAGUCAGCAAACAGGCAGUAGGUGAAGCCAUAGCAUGGGUGACAUGACCUAGGGGGAGAGAAGAAGAAGAAAGAAGGCCCAGGAAGAUCUCCAGAGACCUGCAGCACUGAGAGAUUUGGACAGAGGAGAAGAGCCAGAGCGUGGGAGAAAACCAGGCCGCACAAACCGAGCCGCGAGUUUCUCACCAUCAGUGUCAACGAGGGAGAACUGUGCAUUUGUUGGUUUCGUCCACAUGGAUACCACUGACCUUCACUCAGCCUUUUUGAGGACAGCUGGGGAUGGGAUCCAGAUUAGAGUGCUUUGCCAGUGAGGAGGUACAGAAGGGGAGACCGCCCCUGGAAGAUGUGGCCUUGAAGAGAGUGAGAAGUGGGUGGGCCGGGGGCUUGAGGAAGGACUUUUUAAAGAUGGAAUAGACUUAAAAGCAUAUUUAAAUACAAAUGGGAAGACUCUGUAUUAGGGUGUUGCAGAGAAGCAGACCAACAAAAUGUAUAAAGAGGAAUUUAUUAUAAAGAUUGUCUUCUGUGACUACAGAGGUUGGCAAGUCCAAAAUCUGCAGACCAGGCUGGCAGGUGGGAGACCCAGGGAAGAGCCCAGGGGGCGAUUUACCUCCAAAAGCCAUCUGCUGGCAGAAUUCCUCUUGCUCCAUGUUGUCCUUUGGAGGCCUUCAGCUCAUUGAGGGGAUGAGGCCCACUCAUAUAAUGAAUAUCAAAGUCAUGCAAAGACACCAUCAUAGGAACAUCCAGAAGAUGUUUGACUAAAUAUUGGCACCAGAGCCCAGCUUAGGUGACACCUGAAAUUAGUCAUCACAGAGAUGCUGAAGAUCAAGGAGAGGGAUGGAGGGAGAGGGUAGGGGUUUGUUUAGUUUUUGCCAAAGAUCUAUUGCUUCAUGAGGCAGAUGGACAGUGCCAGCUGGGGCACUUCUGCACACAGUGACGUGCUCACCGACAACACCAUUUAAAUGAAUAAGCAUUGCUCAGAAAGUGAUUUUUUAAAGUAUAUUUGCAACUCCAUCCAGCAGUUAGGAUCACGCUGGUGUGUGAGUUGGAAAACAAAAGCCCAAAGGGCACCAAGCUGUAGGCAAGGAAUUUGAGGCUGAGAGAGAGGUCAGGUUCCAACAGGAGGAAGACAGAGGCUGCAGGCACUGGGGCUGACCAAGAUUUGGGAAGGGUGAUUGCUCCUCCUUUCUCCCAGAUAGAAGGAACUCCAGGGCCACUGCUUGCCUGUCCGGAGAGGGGAGUGGAUUAUCUUCAGACACCCCAAGAAACUGAAUUUCACAACACAGUGAAAACUGUGACUUGCAGACACCACAUGAAAAACCCGCACCUACUGUUUUUCCCCCAUUAAAAAAGAAAUUAGGUUUUAAUGAAGUAAAAUUUAUCCUUUAGUAGACAGCUCUGCAAGUUUUGACAGAUGUAUAGUCUUACUACUGCCCCUGACCCAGACAGCCAUCUGCUCCCAGGUGCCCCCAUCCUCAUGUAGAAGUCCAGCUUCAUGGGUGGCUGAAGUGGGGGGAUUGUUUGAGCUCAGGGGUUCAAGGUCAGCCUGAAAAAUACAGCAAGAUCCCUAAAUGAAGAAUUGGACACAAAUUUCUAUCCAUGGCAGUUUUGGAUGCUUCUAGUAGCUGCCUGACAAAAUUGUUUUUUAAAAAGGAGGAGGAAACAAACCUUGUCAUGUGGCAUGGGGACGGUGGGGGGGGGGGUUGCAAACACUUAUUGGUUAUACCAUAAUUGCAAGUAUUGAAUUCAAUUGUGAGCACACCUUUAAAAGUUAACUCUGUAGACAAUAUUUAUCUGUUUAAAUGGUGGUACAAGAAACUCUUCAGCCAGUUCUAAGCAAAAGUAACGAGAAAUUUUUUCUUUAAAUGUUUCAAGAGGGAUAAGCAGUCACCACUCUUCUAAUGAGAUAAAUAUCUCCCCAGAGCAGAAGCAGCAGGAGCAAACAACCAGGAGCUAAGUGAAAAGCAUCUACUAGAGGAGACUUUUUAUUAUUAUUUGUCAAGUGGUGAUAUAAAGAGAUUGAAGGCAAAACCACUCCUGUUUUCCUGAGACAGACAAUAUUUAACUGUGACUUUUAAAACACAUGUUGCUGGAUUCACAGGUGCUCAGUGAGGCUCUGGGCUGUUCUCAACUCAUUAGCCUUUGCUACCCCAAGAUCAGGGAGCCCAGAUUUUCCCACCAAGAGAGAUUCACUCUACUGCCUCAAAUUGCAGGGUUCGCUUUCAAAGCACAAGUUUCAGGGCCAGAGAUGUGGCUCAGUGGUAGAGCACUUGCCUAGCAUGCGUCAGACCCUGGGUUUGGUCCCCAGCACCACAAGAUCUUUAUAGCUUCCCGGGCAACUUGCUCCCUGACAAACUAGGCUCUUAUCCUGAAUCAUGGUGACACACAAGUGCACUCAGAAUCAAAGCUUUAGAAAAACAGUUUUGAUCACAUCCAUCUCUCCCUCUUGAGAGCUUACAAAAAUUAAAGCGCCAUAAGAGGGUACCCAUUAAUAAUUAUGUAAGAGUUUGGGAGGGAGCAUCCGCAGACAGAUUUCAGCCCGUUAUGGAAGAAUGUCCUCAUUUUUACAAUUAUGUCUCACUGCCUGAACUUCUCCCUGUCUUUGGUUCUUAAACACAGACUGCUGGGGUACCAGCACCUGUUGGGGAGCCUCGAGCCCCAGGCAAAGUCUCGUUGUCUUCCUGUGUCUGGGAGGAGGUUCAUUGCUGCCGCCUAGCAGACAGAUGCACAGGGAAGAUGGGCAGGGGCCACUACAGGGAAGGCAGGGAGAGGAGAAAGGCGCUUCACUGAAAGAGGGAGGGGAGGGAGGAGACCCAGUGGGGCACGGGACAGGUGGGUGUUCCACAGCUGAAGGUCUUAGAUAAACCGAUAAAGCUAUGAAAUAAGUCCUUUUAGUUUUUUUUAAAGUGGAUAUAAUUGGUCAGGUAAUCAAGUUUUAAUUUUUUUAAUGAUAAUACUUGGUUUUGUUGAAAUCACAUCUGCAAACACAAAUUUAUAAAUCUUUUUUUUCAGGAAAGUCAAAUUCAGAGUGCCUCAAAUUGAUGCAGCUUGAUUAGUCCCUCUGGGAUCCCAGGAUAAGAGCCACUUUGUCAGGGAGCAAGUUGCCCCGGAAGCUAUAAAGAUCUUGUGCUGUCGUUUGUUUUUAAAAUUAUGGUAAAACAUGUAACAGAUUUAUCAUCUUAAUGUGCCGAUCAGUAGCCUUUGAUUAGCUGGGGUUCUGCAGAGACAGAACUAAUAGGAUAUAUAGAAAGGUGAUAGAUAAAUGAUAGGGGAUUUAGUAGAGGACUAGGCCCACCCACAUCAUGAAGCUGAGGGGUUCCACCAUAGCCCAACUGCGGGCUGAAGACCCUGGGAUGUCAGUGGUCUGGCUCCAUCUAACUCCGAAGGCCUCAGAACCAGGGAAGCUAUGCAGUGACUCUUAGCGUGAGGCCCAAUGCCUGAGAAACUGGGUGGCAGCCCAAUAUGAGUCCCAGAGCCCAAAGCCCGGAGAUGCCAAACUUCUGAUGUCCAAGUGCAGUAGAAGAGGGGUGUCCAGGAAAGAAAGGAAAUCCCCUUUUUGUUCCAUCUAGACCCCCAGCCUGUUGCAUGGUGCCCGACCACCCUGAGCAGAUCCCCCCACAUCCAAAUCACAUCCAUCUCCUCUGGAGCCUGACAGACAUGCCCAGAGAUAAUUCUUUCUUAGCUCUCUAGGUAAUCCUUAAUCCAGUCAAAUUGACACCUAAAACUAACCAGCACAAGGAUUAACCUAAACACAUUAUGGUUAAACAGCUCUCUAGAACUUUUCAUCUUGCAAAACUCUAGAUCCAUUGAUUGAAUAAUAACUCUCUGUCCCCUCUUCAUGCCAGCUGCUGGGAAUCACUAUUCUAUUUUAUAUUUCUAAGGUCUCUUACUAUUUUAGGUAUCUCAUAUAGGUGGAACAAUAUAGAUUUUUUUGAUCGGUUUGCAAUCACUUUAUUUUGCUUAAUUUCAUUGAAGUUCAUCCGUGUUGCAGCAUAUGAAGGGGUUUCUUCCUUUGUAAAAGGCUGACUAGUGAUCCAUUGCAUAUGUACACAGGUUGAGCAUCCCCAAUCCAAAGUGCUCUAAAACCUGAAUCUUUUUGGAAGACAUUAUACUCAAAUUGUUUCAGAUUUUGGAACAUUUUAGAUUUUCUGAGGGAUGCUCAACCAGUAAAGUCUAUGCAAAAUAUUCCAAAAUCAAACAAAAUUCUCAAAUCUGAAACAGUUCUGGUCCCAAGCAUUUUGUUUAAGGGAACUCAACAUUUUGUUUAUCCAUAUGUCAGUGGGUUGCUUCUCCCUCCUGGCUGUUGUGGCCUGUGCAGCAAUAAGCACGGUGUGCAGGCAUCUCUCUGUGUCCUGCCUUCGGUUCCUCAGAGUGGGGCUACCAGAUCAUGCGGUAAGUCUAUGUUAAUUUUUUCUCUGUGCAGUUCUCUGCAGCAGCAGGCCGCACCAUUUCACUUCCCCACGAGUUGUGAAAAGGGUUCCAUUUCUCCACAUCCUCACCCUACCAUGUUAAUUUUCUGGUUUUUUUUUUUUUUCCCUCGUUUUUAUUUCGUUUUAGGUUUUGGAUAGUGGUCAUGAAUGGAAAGUGAUGAUCAAGAUCUAAAUUUAUAAUUUUGACCCAGAAAUGAAUUUACACCAAGUAGAUAUACAUCCUAGUUAAAAGCUGUGGUGUGUGUGCUUGUGCGCAUGCGUGUGUGCACAAGCGCGAAAAGGAGGAAGUACGUUUUUGCCAAUGAGCACUGAGGAUACAGUCAGAAUGCUUUGGGGAUGAAGAACUCGCAAUGUGAUGGAGACAGGGAAUCUGAUGGGCUCUGCCACUCACCUGAGCCACAUCCCCAGCCCUAUUUUGUAUUUUAUUUAGAAACGAGGUCUCACUGAGUUGCUUAGCACCUUGCUUUUGCUGAGGCUGGAUUCGAACUCACGAUUUUCUGUCUCAGCCUCGUGAGCUGCUGGGAUUACAGGUGUGCAUCGCCAUGCCUGGUGUCACCUGUUGGAAUUUUGUGAGUGAUCCUGUAACUUCUCUGGGUCUCAGUCUCUUCCUAGUGAGAGAAUAAAAGAAAUAUGCACCCAAGAGAGUUGGGGCUGGGCUGGGGGCAUAGCUCAGUGACAGCGCACUUGUCUGGCAGGCCAGCAGGCCCUGGGUUCCAUCCCCAGCAAUGCAAAAAAUAAAAAAAUAAACAGGGCUUGCAGGCAUCAGACACUUAAUAACAAAUGUAAGCUGGAAUAAAUCGAGAGAUGAGGGAGCAGGGGUGAGUAUCAGCCAACUGGGCACAGCUGAGUUUGUUCACAGUAGGGGGGUGCUGGGCUGUGGGGGGUUCUCUAUUUUGAAAUCCACUUUCACAGCAGAUGUGUUGGAGAUACUGUGGGGAACUGUUUUUUGAUAAAGUAAAUGAAGAUGUAAAUGCUUCUGGGUACCUCUACCUAUACCCAUGACGGAGUUAAUCUAACUUAGUAAUUGCUCAGUACACGUUUCCAUAGGUAUCACCUUCCCUCCCUCUCUCCCUCUCUCUUCCAUUCUCCCUCAUUCAUUUUCUUUCCCACUCCCUCCCAAAGUGACUUGACAUGCUGUGUUAAAAAUGGGUACAAGAUUAAAAGAUAGAAACCAAAAAAGGGGGGGGGGAGAGGGAUAGAAACAAAAUUAAAAGAUAAAUUGAAAAAGAAAAUAGUGUAGAAGAAAGGGAAAGUCGGACCAAACAUUAAUUCCUUUAACACAAACUUUAUGCAGAUGCACUUUUUGUUAAAGGAAGAGAAAAAAUAUUGUUCUGAGAAUCUUGAGUUUCCAGUGUGAAGGAGACAUGCACCCCAAUACACUCACACAGUCCAAAAGAAAAAAGCCAAUUGCAUAUUUUGAUUCAUGAUUAGUGAUACUGGAAAGAUUAUUUUUCUCCUGAGAGGUGUUUUUUUGUGGGGGGGAGGAAGGGGCACCAGGGAUUGAACUCAGGGGGACUCGACCUCUGAGCCACAUCUGCAGCCGUAUUUUGUAUUUUGUUUAGAGACAGAGUCUCAGUUGCUUAGCACCUCUCCAUUGCUGAGGCUGACUUUGAACUCACAAUCCUCCUGCCUCAGCCUCCCGAGCCGCUGGGAUUACAGGAGUGCACCACCAUGCUCGCCCUGAGAGGUGUUUUUUAAAAAGGACACGAUGUCCUAUAAAUCCUGCAUCCUCAGCAAUAUCCCUAAGAUGAAAACAACACUGAAUUCAACAACAAUCAUCAGUGAAGGCAGCAAACCAUGGACUGGCCACUGCAGGAGCCAGAACCCUCUGCCAAGAUAUGCAGGUCCCAUCUGGCCAUUGGGAGUUCUGGAUCUUGUGUGGUCCUCAGAAUCGAUUCACAAAGAGCCAAGAAAAAGGGUCUCUGUUGAACACUGGGGACUCAGUGGUUAAAAUCUCAAAAAUCCUAAGGAAAGUACUUGAUGACUUAAAUGUGACUGCUGAAAAACUGGUAUAAAAAAACACUAUGAAAGAUAAAUGACAGACGGGGAAAGGGUUUUUCAACACAUGGGAUGAAGUCCUAAUUUGCCUCAUUUUCAACCCCCCCCCCCCACUAAGCGGCUACAUGGGGGAAAGCGGGAACCUGGUGUGGAAGGGCUUCUGCAGAACCAACAUACUGUAGUGUAAUAUUUCGGCCUUUCUCAGAAUCGGCCUCAUCUAGGGACAGUGCCCCACUUUCAUGACUGUGGGACGCCGUGAAGCCUGUAGCUGCUGCUCCAUGCUUGGGCAGCCAGUGACUUCCGCCUUAAUUGCUGUAACUCAAGGACUCCAGCAGUCAUGAUGAGGUGGGUCCUGGGUGGCCUUAAUGUCCUACUCAGGCAGUCACAUCUCUAUUGUAGGUUUUGGCUUCCAGUUCUGACCUUCUGUAGAUGAUUCCACAUGCUUACUGCCUCUUUGGACUUGUCCAGGAGGAUGUCUCACAGUCCUUCAAACUCAGCAUGCUUAAGAUGGAACUAGUUAGCAGUGGAGUCAGAUCCCAAGGAAGAGCCAACUCAUGCUAAGCCAUAGGCUUGGCUUCUGUUCCUUCAACCACCUAAAACUCCUUUUUUUUUUUUUACAAAAACAAAAGAUCAACUGUGAAUGCUUGGCUGCCUUGUACCAACUAGAUGGCAAGAAUUGAUCCCUGGUAAGGACUUAAACUCAUUGGAAGGAGACAGAAACCAUAAAACAAUGAAACAUGUUGAGAUGUUCCAAGUUUUAUCCUGUGUUAUUCUGCUUUGUGUUGCUGUAACAAAAUACCUGACUCUGGAUAAUGUAUAAAGGAAAAAGGUAUAUCUGGAUCACAGUUCCAGUGGCUGGAAAGUCCAGUCAGCAUGGUGCCCCACCUGGCCGCAUCACAACCAGGAUGUGUGCUGAAGGGGCACAUGCGGGAACAAAGAAGCAAGAGGGGAAGUAAGGAAGCCCAGCUUGCUUGAUAACAACACAUUCUGGCAGGAAGUAACCCAGUGCUAUUGGAUUCACUAAAUCCCUUCUGAAAAUGGCGUCUCCCUGACCUAACAACCUCCCAUAGUUCCCACCUCCUAAAGAUCCACCACCUCUCAAGACAUCGGGAACCAAGUUUCUACAUGAACUUUGGGGGACAAACCACAGCAUGUCUUUACUGUUUCUCUCUCUCAGAUGAGCAAUACCCCUGACUUAUGUGUUUGUUUAAACCAUUGUCUUUUGACUGAUAGGUAUAAAUAAAUCUUUUGCAUAAAUGAGGAAUGUGUGCUGGUUACAAUUACAGUACAGGACCUGGCACUGGGCAGAGCUCAAAGUUGAUGUUUAGUAAGUCAUUAGUUCAGUUUUCAUCUGGAGAGGACUUCAGGGGGCAUACUACCAAACGUAGUGUUCAAGGAGUUGGAGUGGUUGAGUGUUUUGCUCAGAUUUAUACAAUUUAGUGGUGGAGACCCAAGUGCCCAAGCCAUUACUUACUAUGAUAACAAGUCAGUUUGUUUUAUUAAACCCUCACCAUGUGCCAGACCCUGUUCUAG
rnacentral:lncRNA from 1 species